GCUUAUUUCAUAUCAGCUUCACAAAUACAUUGAGUCCCUGAUGUAACUACAGUUCUGAUCUGUGACCAAUACAAUUCUGUCAGUGUGACUGUGCAGGUCUCUGGUCCCACAGUAUUUACCCAGCCAGGUGAACAUUUUAAUAAGCAGCCUUGUAUAUGGAAUGGGAGAGGAGUAAGCCAAUCCUGAUGGUGAGGAGAAGGAGAUAAGGAUUGUAUUGGAGGGAAGAAUUGUGUUUACAGGAGUGGCUUUGGAAUUAUUCUUUGGAAACCAUGCUGUAAGACAUGGGGUGGAGAGUAGCUCUAGUGGUCUUUGUCUCAAAGUUAAUUAAUGUGUUGGAAAUCUGUCACAGGAAAAAAACUCUGUAAAAUAACAGCUGCAAGAGAGAGAACUCAAGACCUAAAAAGUGGUAUGCGCUGUUCUUCACCACCGGAAAGCAAGCAUGAUAAUCAAACAACUAAAGCCAGAAGGCUGAAGAAAAAAGAAAGCACCUUUACUCUCUUUGAAGAAGGUUCAUCAUCGUUUAGGCAGCUUGAUGCCUCAGAAGACACAUCAGACAGCUCAAAGGAAUUGACAGUAGAAGUUCUGCCAACCAAACCGAGAGAUGCUGUGGUGCUUAGCUUGUCACCGGUGUGUAAAGCCUCACGUGGGGAAGACCUGUUCCUGAAUACCACAGGUCCAUUUGUAAACUCAGAAGAAAUUGUUCCUGCAUCUCUGAGCUCAGAAAAAGAAAUUACUCCUCAGAAUCCAGAAGAAAAGAAUAUUUUAAAGCCUCAAUGUGACAGAGAAAUCUGCUCCAUCGUUAGACUGUCACCAGAUGCGAGGCCUUCCCGGCUCCAGAAAGUUCCAGUUAAAUCUAAAAAGUUCUGCCAUCCCAAAGAAGUGCCUGAAGAUACUAUAAUAUGUACCAAAAAUUGGAUCUACUGUAAACAGAGAUGAGAUUUUUCGCUCUCAGCGGGAGUUAACAGAAGAAAUGACUGUCUUGCUGCUUGACAGGGUGGUAAAACAGAACUCCUAACUCGUAAAUAAUGGUUAUAUGGUUUUUGUAUGAAUGUUGUUUGAAAUUUAGUAUUACGUGUUUCACUAAGAUAGUAAAUACUCAAAUACUUUAUAUUAAAGCAGCUAGAUCCUGCUCUGGGCAUUGUUCUGUAAGGAUUCCAUAAAGAUAAUUCUUCAAUUUGUUUAGAUUUUUAAAAAGUUUGACUGAAGAACAAGAGACCAAAUUCCUUUAAUUAAUUACUUUUGGCUCUCUCUGCCAAGAUUUCUGGUUUUCUCUAGUAGCAUUAGCAUCAAAAGAUGCUCUGUUUAAGUGUUGACUAUGAAGGUCAGUGUUAACAUGGAGUCCUGGGAGUGGCCACAAAAGCAUUCAUGUACUCUUGGAGACCCAGAAGUCAAUAGUAUGGCACCAUUAAACUCCUUGAGUGCUUAGGUCUGCAGAACUUUGGAGGUACAGGACUGUGAGUUCUGCUGUAAUUAGAUUUCUGAACAUGACUACAGGUCAUUUUCACUCCAUCAUCACCGAGAAUUGUCUCUUAAUGAUCAGCACUGUCACCAUUCUGGGCACAUCCACUGCCCAGCCACUGCCAUCUCAGAGUCCUUCCUGUUUCAUCUCAGGUAUUUUGUAAUACCACAUCACUUAGUCAUUCUCUCUUCUAGUGGCUUCAGACUUAAGAGAAAGUAAAUGCCUUACAUGAAGACAGUGAUGGGGAAAACCGUUUUACAGCUGAACUUUUUGAAGAGAUGGGUAUUGACAUUCUGGAUUUUCAGGUUACUGCUCACACUGUGUCCACAUAAGUCAGAUUCCCAGUGCUUCCAGUUCAGGUUGUGGAUUGUUAAUUCAUAAAUGUUGUUCUUAAUGUGCUGAAUGUCUCAGGAAACACUGUCAAGAACAAUUUUUUCCACUUGAAUUCUUUGCACAUUAAAGUUAUUUGGACCCCUA
rnacentral:lncRNA from 1 species